rnacentral:rRNA from 1 species
UACAGAGGGUGCGAGCGUUAAUCGGAAUUACUGGGCGUAAAGCGUGCGUAGACGGCUAUCUAAGUCGGGUGUGAAAGCCCCGGGCUCAACCUGGGAAUUGCAUUCGAGACUGAAUAGCUAGGGUGCGGUAGAGGGAAGCGGAAUUUCCGGUGUAGCGGUGAAAUGCGUAGAUAUCCGGAGGAACACCGGUGGCGAAGGCGGCUUCCUGGACCGACACUGACGCUGAGGCGCGAAAGCCAGGGGAGCAAACGGG